rnacentral:rRNA from 1 species
CCUACGGGUGGCAGCAGUGGGGAAUAUUGGACAAUGGGCGAAAGCCUGAUCCAGCCAUGCCGCGUGUGUGAAGAAGGCCUUCGGGUUGUAAAGCACUUUCAGUGGGGAAGAAAGCCUUGGGGCUAAUACCCUCGAGGAAGGACAUCACCCACAGAAGAAGCACCGGCUAACUCCGUGCCAGCAGCCGCGGUAAUACGGAGGGUGCGAGCGUUAAUCGGAAUUACUGGGCGUAAAGCGCGCGUAGGCGGUCUGAUAAGCCGGUUGUGAAAGCCCCGGGCUCAACCUGGGAACGGCAUCCGGAACUGUCAGGCUAGAGUGCAGGAGAGGAAGGUAGAAUUCCCGGUGUAGCGGUGAAAUGCGUAGAGAUCGGGAGGAAUACCAGUGGCGAAGGCGGCCUUCUGGACUGGCACUGACGCUGAGGUGCGAAAGCGUGGGUAGCAAACAGGAUUAGAUACCCCGGUAGUC